AUGUUAAACUGUCAAGAUUGUCUUUGUGUGAAGAGUGGGGAGGUUGCCAUGGAGAGGUUCAUGUUGCUAUGUGACUCUUGUGUCAGAACCGGAAUCAAAAUGGUAAUGGUCAUGUCAAUUCCGAUAAAAAAAAAAAAAAAAAGAUCCUCAACAGCUUCAUUAAAAAGGGGAACUUUUAUUUCUUCCUUUCUUGUCAUUGUGCCAAGAAUAACAGAAGGGGAAAUAUUGGAUUUUGUAAAGAGGCAGACAAUGGGGCCAGCUGCCUGCACUGUUGAUGGAAGCUCCAGUCUUUCCCGGAGAGGCCAAGGCUGGUUUUCCUCCUUGCCUGGCGCUUUCUCCCUGCUUUUUCGGCGUGAGUCCCAGAUGUCAAGCUCCUGAAGUGGAUGAUGGACAGCACUUGCACUGGGGAUGCGGCCGGUGGCCAGGAUGGACCCGGAGCGCCGAGGCAGCCUUGCUGUGCAGCAAUGACUUGAUGAGAACUUUGUCAGCAGGACCCAAGAAUAAUAUUUGAAAAACCAUGACCUGCCUCCCCGUUUCCAUCCAGAUGACGUCCUUUCUUGCUUUCCAAUGAGAUUUGGUUAACGCCAUGUCUCUCUCCAACAGGCAAAUAGAUACAAAUCUAUGGUCACUGGAAGGCAAUCAAUCCUCCCAGGCAUUUUCUGGGUUAGAUGACCAUUAUGAUCCUCAUUUUACAGAAGAAAUUGAAGCUGAGAGAGGUUUAGCAACUUACUCAAGGUCACACAGCCUUUUUGUUUUUUUUAAAGAUUGUAUUUUCCUUUUUCUCCCAAAGCCCCUGCUACAUAGUUAUGUAUUUUUAGUUGUGGGUCCUUCUAGCUGUGGCAUGUGGGACGCUGCCUCAGCAUGGCCUGAUGAGCAGUGCCAUGUCCACUCCCAGGAUUCCAACUGGCGAAACCCUGGGCCGCUGAAGCAGAGCGCAUGAACUUAACCACUUGGCCACAGGGCCGGCCCCCACACAGCCUGUAAAUGGCUGAGCCGAGAUUCAAACCCAAGCAGGUACAGUCCAAAGACUGUAGGGGGAUGUGUGUGUGUCUGUGUGUCUGUCCUAUAUAAGAAUGGG
rnacentral:lncRNA from 1 species